AGUGAACGCUGGCGGUAGGCCUAACACAUGCAAGUCGAACGGCAGCACAGUAAGAGCUUGCUCUUACGGGUGGCGAGUGGCGGACGGGUGAGGAAUACAUCGGAAUCUACUUUUUCGUGGGGGAUAACGUAGGGAAACUUACGCUAAUACCGCAUACGACCUACGGGUGAAAGCAGGGGAUCUUCGGACCUUGCGCGAUUGAAUGAGCCGAUGUCGGAUUAGCUAGUUGGCGGGGUAAAGGCCCACCAAGGCGACGAUCCGUAGCUGGUCUGAGAGGAUGAUCAGCCACACUGGAACUGAGACACGGUCCAGACUCCUACGGGAGGCAGCAGUGGGGAAUAUUGGAUAAUGGGCGCAAGCCUGAUCCAGCCAUACCGCGUGGGUGAAGAAGGCCUUCGGGUUGUAAAGCCCUUUUGUUGGGAAAGAAGAGCAGCAGGUUAAUACCCCGCUGUUCUGACGGUACCCAAAGAAUAAGCACCGGCUAACUUCGUG
rnacentral:rRNA from 1 species